rnacentral:lncRNA from 1 species
GCUGACUGCUAAACAACUAAAUGCCAAGGCAGCAAAAGAAAUUCUGAGAAUCAAGAAUUUGAAGAAUGAUGAGUGGACAUUAGAUUUGCAUGGUCUUCAUGCUGCAGAAGCAGUCCAAGCCUUGCAAGAACAUUUGCAGAGGAUUGAAUCUCAGAUGCCUACAAAACAGCUUGCUUGUGCUAGAAGAUUCAAUGCAAUUCAAUCUCAGAUGCCUUGUGCUAGAAUAGUCCAUCUAUCUCAGAUGCCUAUUGCUUGUGCUAGAAUAGUCCAUUUAUCUCAGAUGCCUGCUAGAAGAUUCAAUGUAAUGGCAGGAAUUGUAUCUUCCACAGCUCCUAAUG